rnacentral:rRNA from 1 species
UGUCAGCAGCCGCGGUAAUACGGAGGAUGCGAGCGUUAUCCGGAUUCAUUGGGUUUAAAGGGUGCGUAGGCGGAAUGAUAAGUCAGUGGUGAAAUCCUACAGCUUAACUGUAGAACUGCCAUUGAUACUAUCGUUCUUGAGUACAUUUGAAGUGGGCGGAAUGUGUCAUGUAGCGGUGAAAUGCUUAGAUAUUACACAGAACACCGAUCGCGAAGGCAGCUCACUAAGUUGUAACUGACGCUCAGGCACGAAAGCGUGGGGAUCAAACAGGAUUAGAUACCCUGGUAGUCCACGCCGUAAACGAUGAUUACUCGAUGUUGGCGAUACACUGUCAGCGUCUAAGCGAAAGCAUUAAGUAAUCCACCUGGGGAGUACGGCCGCAAGGUUGAAACUCAAAGGAAUUGACGG